rnacentral:rRNA from 1 species
UACGUAGGGUGCGAGCGUUAAUCGGAAUCACUGGGCGUAAAGCGCACGUAGGCGGACUCGCAGGUCAAUUGUGAAAUACCUGGGCUCAACCCGGGAACUGCAGUUGAAACCGCUUGUCUUGAAUACCUGAGAGGGUGGGGGAAUACCUGGUGGAGAAGUGAAAUUCGUAGAGAUCAGGUGGAACACCGGAGGCGAAGGCGCCUGCCUGGCAGUGUAUUGACGCUGAGGUGCGAAAGUGCGGGGAGCAAACAGG